rnacentral:rRNA from 1 species
AGAGUUUGAUCCUGGCUCAGAAUCAACGCUGGCGGCGCGCUUAACACAUGCAAGUCGCACGAGAAAGUGGAGCAAUCCAUGAGUACAGUGGCGUACGGGUGAGUAACACGUGGAUCAUCUACCUCUUAGUGGGGAAUAACCCUGGGAAACCGGGGCUAAUACCGCAUAAGCUCGAGAGAGGAAAGCAGCAAUGCGCUGAGAGAGGAGUCCGCGGCCGAUUAGCUAGUUGGCAGGGUAAACGCCUACCAAGGCAAAGAUCGGUAGCCGGCCUGAGAGGGCACACGGCCACACUGGCACUGAAACACGGGCCAGACUCCUACGGGAGGCAGCAGUGGGGAAUCUUGCACAAUGGGGGAAACCCUGAUGCAGCGACGCCGCGUGAGCGAUGAAGCCCUUCGGGGUGUAAAGCUCUUUCGGCAGGGACGAUCAUGACGGUACCUGCAGAAGCAGCUGCGGCUAACUACGUGCCAGCAGCCGCGGUAAUACGUAGGCAGCGAGCGUUGUUCGGAGUUACUGGGCGUAAAGGGUGUGUAGGCGGUUGCUUAAGUUUGGUGUGAAAUCUCCCGGCUCAACUGGGAGGGUGCGCCGAAUACUGAGUGACUCGAGUGCGGGAGAGGAGAGUGGAAUUCCUGGUGUAGCGGUGAAAUGCGUAGAUAUCAGGAGGAACACCGGCGGUGUAGACGGCUCUCUGGACCGUAACUGACGCUGAGACACGAAAGCGUGGGUAGCAAACAGGAUUAGAUACCCUGGUAGUCCACGCCCUAAACGAUGCAUAUUUGGUGUGGGUCAUUCAGUUGAUCCGUGCCGGAGCUAACGCGUUAAAUAUGCCGCCUGGGGAGUACAGUCGCAAGGCUGAAACUCAAAGGAAUUGACGGGGCCCGCACAAGCGGUGGAGCAUGGUGGUUCAAUUCGACGCAACGCGAAGAACCUUACCUGGGC